UACAGAGGGUGCGAGCGUUAAUCGGAAUUACUGGGCGUAAAGCGUGCGCAGGCGGUGAUGUAAGACAGAUGUGAAAUCCCCGGGCUCAACCUGGGAACUGCAUUUGUGACUGCAUCGCUGGAGUACGGCAGAGGGGGAUGGAAUUCCGCGUGUAGCAGUGAAAUGCGUAGAUAUGCGGAGGAACACCGAUGGCGAAGGCAAUCCCCUGGGCCUGUACUGACGCUC
rnacentral:rRNA from 1 species